UAGGGAAUCUUCGGCAAUGGACGAAAGUCUGACCGAGCAACGCCGCGUGAGUGAAGAAGGUUUUCGGAUCGUAAAACUCUGUUGUUAGAGAAGAACAAGGACGUUAGUAACUGAACGUCCCCUGACGGUAUCUAACCAGAAAGCCACGGCUAACUACGUGCCAGCAGCCGCGGUAAUACGUAGGUGGCAAGCGUUGUCCGGAUUUAUUGGGCGUAAAGCGAGCGCAGGCGGUUUCUUAAGUCUGAUGUGAAAGCCCCCGGCUCAACCGGGGAGGGUCAUUUGAAACUGGGAGACUGGAGUGCAGAAGAGGAGAGUGGAAUUCCAUGUGUAGCGGUGAAAUGCGUAGAUAUAUGGAGGAACACCAGUGGCGAAGGCGGCUCUCUGGUCUGUAACUGACGCUGAGGCUCGAAAGCGUGGGGAGCAAACAGG
rnacentral:rRNA from 1 species